UACAGAGGGUGCAAGCGUUAAUCGGAAUUACUGGGCGUAAAGCGUGCGUAGACGGUUAUGUAAGUCAGAUGUGAAAGCCCAGGGCUCAACCUUGGAAUUGCAUUUGAGACUGCAUAGCUAGGGUGCGGAAGAGGGAAGCGGAAUUUCCGGUGUAGCGGUGAAAUGCGUAGAUAUCGGAAGGAACACCAGUGGCGAAAGCGGCUUCCUGGUCCAGCACCGACGUUCAGGCACGAAAGCGUGGGGAGCAAACGGG
rnacentral:rRNA from 1 species